rnacentral:rRNA from 1 species
AUUGAACGCUGGCGGAAUGCUUUACACAUGCAAGUCGAACGGCAGCACGGGUGCUUGCACCUGGUGGCGAGUGGCGAACGGGUGAGUAAUACAUCGGAACGUACCCAGUUAUGGGGGAUAACUAACCGAAAGGUUAGCUAAUACCGCAUACGCCCUGAGGGGGAAAGCGGGGGACCGUAAGGCCUCGCGUAAUUGGAGCGGCCGAUGUCUGAUUAGCUAGUUGGUGAGGUAAAGGCUCACCAAGGCGACGAUCAGUAGCAGGUCUGAGAGGAUGAUCUGCCACACUGGAACUGAGACACGGUCCAGACUCCUACGGGAGGCAGCAGUGGGGAAUUUUGGACAAUGGGCGAAAGCCUGAUCCAGCCAUUCCGCGUGAGUGAAGAAGGCCUUCGGGUUGUAAAGCUCUUUCGGCAGGGAAGAAACGGUCUAGGUUAAUACCUUGGGCUAAUGACGGUACCUGAAGAAGAAGCACCGGCUAACUACGUGCCAGCAGCCGCCGUAAUAC